rnacentral:tRNA from 1 species
UUCCUGGCAGUCCAGUGGCUAAGACUCUGCACUGUCAGUGCAGGGGGCCUGGGUUCAAUCCCUGGUCAGGGAA